rnacentral:rRNA from 1 species
UUUGUAGAGGAUGCUUCUGAGUAACCNCCGACCUAAGUUCCUUGGAACAGGACGUCAUAGAGGGUGAGAAUCCCGUAUGCGGUCGGAAAGGUGCUCUAUACGUAGCUCCUUCGACGAGUCGAGUUGUUUGGGAAUGCAGCUCUAAAUGGGAGGUAAAUUUCUUCUAAAGCUAAAUAUUGGCCAGAGACCGAUAGCGCACAAGUAGAGUGAUCGAAAGAUGAAAAGCACUUUGGAAAGAGAGUUAAAAAGCACGUGAAAUUGUUAAAAGGGAAGGGAUUGCAACCAGACUUGCUCGCGGUGUUCCGCCGGUCUUCUGACCGGUCUACUCGCCGCGUUGCAGGCCAGCAUCGUCUGGUGCCGCUGGAUAAGACUUGAGGAAUGUAGCUCCCUCGGGAGUGUUAUAGCCUCUUGUGAUGCAGCGAGCGCCGGGCGAGGUCCGCGCUUCGGCUAGGAUGCUGGCGUAAUG